GGGUUGUGAGGUUAAGCGACUAAGCGUACACGGUGGAUGCCCUGGCAGUCAGAGGCGAUGAAGGGCGUGCUAAUCUGCGAUAAGCGCCGGUAAGGUGAUAUGAACCGUUAUAACCGGCGAUACCCGAAUGGGGAAACCCAGUGUGACUCGUCACACUAUCAUUAACUGAAUCCAUAGGUUAAUGAGGCGAACCGGGGGAACUGAAACAUCUAAGUACCCCGAGGAAAAGAAAUCAACCGAGAUUCCCCCAGUAGCGGCGAGCGAACGGGGAGGAGCCCAGAGCCUGAAUCAGCAUGUGUGUUAGUGGAAGCGUCUGGAAAGGCGCGCGAUACAGGGUGACAGCCCCGUACACAAAAGCGCAUGUGCUGUGAGCUCGAUGAGUAGGGCGGGACACGUGGUAUCCUGUCUGAAUAUGGGGGGACCAUCCUCCAAGGCUAAAUACUCCUGACUGACCGAUAGUGAACCAGUACCGUGAGGGAAAGGCGAAAAGAACCCCGGCGAGGGGAGUGAAAAAGAACCUGAAACCGUGUACGUACAAGCAGUGGGAGCNNGUGACUGCGUACCUUUUGUAUAAUGGGUCAGCGACUUAUAUUCUGUAGCAAGGUUAACCGAAUAGGGGAGCCGGAGGGAAACCGAGUCUUAACCGGGCGUUAAGUUGCAGGGUAUAGACCCGAAACCCGGUGAUCUAGCCAUGGGCAGGUUGAAGGUUGGGUAACACUAACUGGAGGACCGAACCGACUAAUGUUGAAAAAUUAGCGGAUGACCUGUGGCUGGGGGUGAAAGGCCAAUCAAACCGGGAGAUAGCUGGUUCUCCCCGAAAGCUAUUUAGGUAGCGCCUCGUGAAUUCAUCUCCGGGGGUAGAGCACUGUUUCGGCUAGGGGGCCAUCCCGGCUUACCAACCCGAUGCAAACUGCGAAUACCGGAGAAUGUUAUCACGGGAGACACACGGCGGGUGCUAACGUCCGUCGUGAAGAGGGAAACAACCCAGACCGCCAGCUAAGGUCCCAAAGUCAUGGUUAAGUGGGAAACGAUGUGGGAAGGCCCAGACAGCCAGGAUGUUGGCUUAGAAGCAGCCAUCAUUUAAAGAAAGCGUAAUAGCUCACUGGUCGAGUCGGCCUGCGCGGAAGAUGUAACGGGGCUAAACCAUGCACCGAAGCUGCGGCAGNNGUUGGGUAGGGGAGCGUUCUGUAAGCCUGUGAAGGUGGCCUGUGAGGGUUGCUGGAGGUAUCAGAAGUGCGAAUGCUGACAUAAGUAACGAUAAAGCGGGUGAAAAGCCCGCUCGCCGGAAGACCAAGGGUUCCUGUCCAACGUUAAUCGGGGCAGGGUGAGUCGACCCCUAAGGCGAGGCCGAAAGGCGUAGUCGAUGGGAAACGGGUUAAUAUUCCCGUACUUGGUGUUACUGCGAAGGGGGGACGGAGAAGGCUAUGUUGGCCGGGCGACGGUUGUCCCGGUUUAAGCGUGUAGGUGUGUGUUCCAGGUAAAUCCGGUUCACUUUAACACUGAGGCGUGAUGACGAGGCACUACGGUGCUGAAGCAACAAAUGCCCUGCUUCCAGGAAAAGCCUCUAAGCAUCAGGUAACAUCAAAUCGUACCCCAAACCGACACAGGUGGUCAGGUAGAGAAUACCAAGGCGCUUGAGAGAACUCGGGUGAAGGAACUAGGCAAAAUGGUGCCGUAACUUCGGGAGAAGGCACGCUGACACGUAGGUGAAGUGAUUUACUCAUGGAGCUGAAGUCAGUCGAAGAUACCAGCUGGCUGCAACUGUUUAUUAAAAACACAGCACUGUGCAAACACGAAAGUGGACGUAUACGGUGUGACGCCUGCCCGGUGCCGGAAGGUUAAUUGAUGGGGUCAGCGCAAGCGAAGCUCCUGAUCGAAGCCCCGGUAAACGGCGGCCGUAACUAUAACGGUCCUAAGGUAGCGAAAUUCCUUGUCGGGUAAGUUCCGACCUGCACGAAUGGCGUAAUGAUGGCCAGGCUGUCUCCACCCGAGACUCAGUGAAAUUGAACUCGCUGUGAAGAUGCAGUGUACCCGCGGCAAGACGGAAAGACCCCGUGAACCUUUACUAUAGCUUGACACUGAACAUUGAGCCUUGAUGUGUAGGAUAGGUGGGAGGCUUUGAAGCGUGGACGCCAGUCUGCGUGGAGCCGACCUUGAAAUACCACCCUUUAAUGUUUGAUGUUCUAACGUGGACCCGUAAUCCGGGUUGCGGACAGUGUCUGGUGGGUAGUUUGACUGGGGCGGUCUCCUCCUAAAGAGUAACGGAGGAGCACGAAGGUUGGCUAAUCCUGGUCGGACAUCAGGAGGUUAGUGCAAUGGCAUAAGCCAGCUUGACUGCGAGCGUGACGGCGCGAGCAGGUGCGAAAGCAGGUCAUAGUGAUCCGGUGGUUCUGAAUGGAAGGGCCAUCGCUCAACGGAUAAAAGGUACUCCGGGGAUAACAGGCUGAUACCGCCCAAGAGUUCAUAUCGACGGCGGUGUUUGGCACCUCGAUGUCGGCUCAUCACAUCCUGGGGCUGAAGUAGGUCCCAAGGGUAUGGCUGUUCGCCAUUUAAAGUGGUACGCGAGCUGGGUUUAGAACGUCGUGAGACAGUUCGGUCCCUAUCUGCCGUGGGCGCUGGAGAACUGAGGGGGGCUGCUCCUAGUACGAGAGGACCGGAGUGGACGCAUCACUGGUGUUCGGGUUGUCAUGCCAAUGGCACUGCCCGGUAGCUAAAUGCGGAAGAGAUAAGUGCUGAAAGCAUCUAAGCACGAAACUUGCCCCGAGAUGAGUUCUCCCUGAGACUUUG
rnacentral:rRNA from 1 species